CACCAGCCACUCGAGUGGUGGGGAUGAUUAUUUGGCCUAAAGCGUCCGUAGCCGGCCGGGUAAGUUUCCCGUUAAAUCCAGCGUCUCAAGCGUUGGACUGCGGGAAAUACUGCCUGGCUAGAGAGUGGGAGAGGUCAGCGGUAUUCUGGGGGUAGGGGCGAAAUCCUUUGAUCCCCGGAGGACCACCAGUGGCGAAGGCUGCUGACUAGAACACGUCUGACGGUCAGGGACGAAAGCUGGGGUAGCGAACCGGAUUAGAUACCCGGGUAGUCCCAGCCGUAAACGAUGCAUGCUAGGUGUUGGGUUGGCCACGAGCCACCCCAGUGCCGCAGGGAAGCCGUUAAGCAUGCCGCCUGGGAAGUACGAUCGCAAGAUUGAAACUUAAAGGAAUUGGCGGGGGAGCACCACCAGGCGUGAAGCCUGCGGUUU
rnacentral:rRNA from 1 species